UGGGGAAUAUUGCGCAAUGGGGGAAACCCUGACGCAGCGACGCCGCGUGUGGGAUGAAGGUCUUCGGAUUGUAAACCACUGUCGCGAGGGACGAGGCUCUGACGGUACCUCGAAAGGAAGCACCGGCUAACUCUGUGCCAGCAGCCGCGGUAAUACAGAGGGUGCGAGCGUUGUCCGGAAUCAUUGGGCGUAAAGGGCGCGUAGGCGGCCGAUCAAGUCGGAGGUGAAAUCCCUCGGCUCAACUGAGGAAUGGCCUUCGAUACUGUUCGGCUUGAGUCCUGGAGAGGGUAGCGGAAUUCCCGGUGUAGCGGUGAAAUGCGUAGAGACCGGGAAGAACACCAGUGGCGAAGGCGGCUACCUGGACAGGUACUGACGCUGAAGCGCGAAAGCUAGGGGAGCAAACAGGAUUAGAUACCCUGGUAGUCCCUGAGCGGGCUGGCAAGGCGCAU
rnacentral:rRNA from 1 species